rnacentral:rRNA from 1 species
CUGUCGUCAGCUCGUGCCGUGAGGUGUUGGGUUAAGUCCCGCAACGAGCGCAACCCUUAUCCUUUGUUGCCAGCGGUCCGGCCGGGAACUCAAAGGAGACUGCCAGUGAUAAACUGGAGGAAGGUGGGGAUGACGUCAAGUCAUCAUGCCCCUUAUGUCCAGGGCUUCACGCAUGCUACAAUGGCCGGUACAAAGUGUUGCGAUGCCGUGAGGUGG